UACGUAGGGUGCAAGCGUUGUCCGGAAUUAUUGGGCGUAAAGAGCUCGUAGGCGGUUUGUCGCGUCUGCUGUGAAAACUCAGGGCUUAACUCUGAGCUUGCAGCCGAUACGGGCAGGCUAGAGUUCGGUAGGGGAGACUGGAAUUCCUGGUGUAGCGGUGAAAUGCGCAGAUAUCAGGAGGAACACCCGUGGCGAAAGCGGCUCUCUGGGACGGUACUGACGCUGAGACGCGAAAGCGUGGGGAGCAAACAGG
rnacentral:rRNA from 1 species